GUUCUGGCUGCAUUACUUGGUGCACUUUUUUGGUGUAUGAAGAGGAAAUGGAGAGGAGCACAAAAAGAGCAUGACCGAACAGCAAACACACAGGGUCACGCUGCUCCGGAUCUUCUCCAGGAAGCAUAGAGAAUGAUGCAGGGUCUGCUCUGGAUGGGAUGCCCGUCUGUCACAGGAACAUCAUACAUGAUAGCAAAGUUAGAAUUUACCAGAGGCACAUGUCUUUGGGAGGAAGCCAGAGCAUCCAGAGGAAACCACCCAAGAGAAGAACACACAAACUC